CUGGCUAAUAUGUCUAAUAUGUCUCAUCCUGGGCCUCCUCUUCUUUUAUUUCUAAUUUAAACAAAAAUCUAACAUUUGGUACCCAACUCAGUUUAGGCUCUCCCAGAAACCUCUCCUGACAGGGGUACGGGAAAUUUCAGGGAUCCUAAAAUCUGAACUCAUAACCCUCUUUCCAUCUCGGUUUUUCCUGGCACUUCCUCUUGCCUGCAGCAAUCUGAGAUGCUGGAACUCUGUACACUUCAACUCGCAGCUUUUCCAACUAACCAUCUUUGGAACUCAUCUGCCUGCUUGCUACGAUCUGCUUUCUAUAACAGAGAGAGAUAGGCCAGCUGCUAUCCCAUUUCCUCCAAGAAGACUGAUGGACACUAAGGAAACUUCAUCUGGAGUCAGUGACAACACUAGUCACUGAGCAACCCUGCCCUUCACCUCAACUGCUACAAAGUACUCCAGACUGUUGACAAGAGGACAGUGGAACUGAUUUUCCCUGUGUUUCUUGGGCCAACGGUAGGUGAAGCCUUCCUGUAGUCUGUAAUCCACAGGUCACAUACUAUCAGCAAGAAGGCAUACUGUCCUGCAGCCUGCUACUAUGGAUGGAGGACCUUGGGGGUGGCUGUCCAUGCAGCCUGCUGGCAAGUCUCUGUUAUUCUUUAAUCAUUAAUUCAGGAAAAAUCUUAUCCUUCUCAAGAACUCUGAUGCUUUUGACAACUGGUAGUCUUGCCAGCUUAAAGCAAAACAGAUUUCAGGAACAGGUAUUUUAGGGUUUAUCUAUGUGAAGAUAGGAAAGUGUAAAGUGUAUGAAGGUCUGGGAAUGUGGUUACAAAGGAGUGAGGAUAGAAAGGUCUAACAUGGUGGAUAAAUGCAAGUUUUGAAGGUCUGAGAAUGGAAGGUAUAAAGGUCUGAAAAUGGAAGGUCUAAGAUGGUAAUGUAAGGUGUUUAAAUUAAAGUUAUGAAGGUCUGAGGAUAAAAAGGCUUAAGUGAUGAUAAAGUGAGUUGAGACAUUAAAAAGAAUGAAAUAUGUUCUGGAUUUCUCUAUUUUUCAUGCUACUGUUCAUAGUAAAGUUCUACAAUACCACUAGACGAUCCUAAAUACAAGGUGAAGAUUAAGAUGCUUUUCAUUGUCCUAAAAAUAAACCUGUCAAUGUAAAAAUGUUAAUGCUUUCAGCCAAGUUGCCUCUAACAUGAAUAUGUUGCUAAUGUGUCUAAUACUUAUGUUUCCACAAACUCUAAGGAUUCUUGUAAGUUCCAGGAGCUGAAUUGGAUCCAAACAAACAGGUCAGAUUCACUCCAAUAAAAUAUUAUUCAGUCUUUCCCUGGUCCCAGGACUCCCUUCCCUCAUGUUGGGACUCCUCGGGAACCCCUCCCUCAUCUUACAAUCUUCCCCUCAAGUGACAGGACCUAAGAAACAUUUUUUUUUUCUAAACUUAACCUUGUCCUCUGCUCUGCCAACAUCUUGUCAGGUCUAAGAGGCACCAGGAAGUUCCGUACAGCCUAGAUUGAGAUGAAACAACCAGACACCCCAGGAUGUGGCAGCACCACAACCUUCUAAGGUCCCCCAAAGAUGGUCAAUGCCAUCAGCAGGAAGCUGUCUUGAGAAUUCAAUGCCCUUAUUCCUUAAUCUGCCAUGUCUAACACCCCACCUUUUUUUAAAAAUAAUAAGUAAAGGUGGGAUUGAAGGGUUCAGGCAUUAUGCUGGCCUGACUCUGUUACCUGGAGGUACAGGCAGUACCCUGGUCAGCCCAGGGUUCCAUGGGAACUGCAUGAAGGUGCAGAGGGCCCCUUUAAAAGACAGACCCCUUCCCAUUUACUCUCUGUCUCUCUGUCUCUCUGUCUCUGUCUCUCUCUCCCUCUACAUUCUCUCUAGUCUUCUCUCUCUGCUCUCUGCUCUGCUCUUUUCCUACCUAUGCUCUCUCUUUCUCUCUCUAUGGUGACUGGCCACUGCAGUCAGUCAUUAACCCUGUUCCUCUUCUCUUUCUUACUCUACUCUGCCAGGCCUAUAAUAAACUAGUUAAUAUGUCUCAUCCUGUGUCUCAUCCUGGGCCUCCUCUUCUUUUAUUUCUAAUUUAAACAAAAAUCUAACAGGUUUCCCAGAUCGAAGUCCCCAGGCCUCAGGUGGCUCCAGCAGGGCAGUGGAAGAUGGGCAGGAAACAAGCCCAUGCUUACUUCCUCUGUGGACAGAGGAGGGACUAGGAUGCUGGCAGGUUCUGGAUGGGGUCAUCUGCUGAAAUGUAUUCCCCAGAUCAAAGUCCCCAGUCCUCCCACCAGUUAACUUCUGAAUGGUUCCUUGCCACAUGGAAGGUAUCUGGCUUCCUAGUGAUAGGGCAAGGUCAGGCAAGAUUGAACAAGGUCAGGGGCUCAGCACAUGUUGCUGAGUCAGAGGCCUAUGUCUUUCUGGGUCUUUUGUGCAACCUGGUUUUGGCUGCCAAAGCAGGGGCUUGGUGAGGGGCUGGUUGUUUCAGUAUGAAUGUAUGAACUGCUCAAGAUAAAGAACUAUUAUUAAG
rnacentral:lncRNA from 1 species